UACGUAGGGUGCGAGCGUUAAUCGGAAUUACUGGGCGUAAAGCGUGCGCAGGCGGUUUGUUAAGACAGAUGUGAAAUUCCCGGGCUUAACCUGGGAACUGCAUUUGUGACUGGCAAGCUAGAGUAUGGCAGAGGGGGGUAGAAUUCCACGUGUAGCAGUGGAAAUGCGUAGAGAUGUGGAGGAAUACCGAUGGCGAAGGCAGCCCCCUGGGCCCAAUACUGGACGCUCAUG
rnacentral:rRNA from 1 species